ACUCUGAUGCAGCGACGCCGCGUGAACGAUGAAGGCCUUCGGGUCGUAAAGUUCUGUCCUAGGGGACGAUAAUGACGGUACCCUAGGAGGAAGCCCCGGCUAACUACGUGCCAGCAGCCGCGGUAAUACGUAGGGGGCAAGCGUUGUCCGGAUUUAUUGGGCGUAAAGGGUGCGUAGGCGGCCUUUUAAGUCAGAUGUGAAAGGUCACGGCUCAACCGUGGUAAGCAUUUGAAACUGGAAGGCUUGAGUUAAGGAGAGGAAAGUGGAAUUCCUAGUGUAGCGGUGAAAUGCGUAGAUAUUAGGAGGAAUACCAGUGGCGAAGGCGACUUUCUGGACUUAUACUGACGCUGAUGCACGAAAGCGUGGGGAGCGAACAGGAUUAGAUACCCUGGUAGUCCACGCCGUAAACGAUGAGUGCUAGGUGUUGGGGGUCAAACCUCGGUGCCGCAGCUAACGCAUUAAGCACUCCGCCUGGGGAGUACGUACGCAAGUAUGAAACUCAAAGAAAUUGACGGGGACCC
rnacentral:rRNA from 1 species